GGCUGUAGCUCAGGGGUAGAGCAUCUGCUUUGCAUGCAGAAGAUCUCAGGUUCCAUCACCAGAAUCUCCU